rnacentral:lncRNA from 1 species
UCUCAAACAAUCAACAUCUUUACCUGUAAACGCCAUCAAAAGGACUUUUCCAAGGCUUGUAAUGAGGUUGGGCUAACAAGAGGAAUUGGUUUUUCUAGAAUGCAAAAUCCUUGAGUCAAGAGAACUAUCAAAAUAUUCAACAAUUAAGCACAACUCUCUCACCAAAAUUUCUCAUUCCCAACUUCUUCCCUUUUCUUUUCUUUUUCAUUGAGCUCAUCUUCAUGCUUUUCUUCUCUUUUUUUUUUCUUUUUCUCAUGAAUUUUUCUCUUUUCACAACAAUUGAGCUCAAUGCCUUUUACUUGUUGUUUUUUUUUUCAAUUUUCCCCCGUAGAAC